UACGUAGGGGGCUAGCGUUGUCCGGAAUCAUUGGGCGUAAAGAGCGUGUAGGCGGCCCGGUAAGUCCGCUGUAAAAGUCAAAGGCUCAACCUUUGAAUGUCAGUGGAUACUGCCGGGCUAGAGUCCGGAAGAGGCGAGUGGAACUCCUGGUGUAGCGGUGAAAUGCGUAGAUAUCUGGAGGAACACCGGUGGCGAAGGCGGCAUCCUGGACCGACAUUGACGCUGAGGCGCGAAAGCCAGGGGAGCAAACGGG
rnacentral:rRNA from 1 species